rnacentral:tmRNA from 1 species
GGGGAUGACUGGCUUCGACGGGGAAGGCUGGUCCUGGACUGCAAGCCGAGCACGCUUACAACUCGUAAAACUGGAAGCAACCAUUAAGUGCCAAUACAAACGCACGCACAUAUAAUGCUCUUCCUCUCGCUGCUUAAUUGUAGCUAGAUAGAGUGUUAUGAUGAGUCCAUCGCGGACUCCCGUCUACCCCAAGCUUUCGUCGGCUGCGCGGGUUUGUAGGCGACAUGAUCGUCGACGUGCGCUGCAUUGAUACCGAUAAAUGCAGGUAAGCGGUCCUUUCGGGGAUCAUCGGCUCGCGGAUGGCUGACCCGGUUAGUCGGGGCGCCCAUUCGUAAAACUCAAAUAGACUAACUAUGCUUGCAGACGUUCAGAGGCUGGAUUUUUCGGACGCGGGUUCGAUUCCGCCAUCUCCACUC